ACUAAAAUAGUUUAACUAAAAAUAUUAAUUUUGUAAAUUAAAGACGUCUUUCUUUUAGUA
rnacentral:tRNA from 1 species